GUUUGAUCCUGGCUCAGAUUGAACGCUGGCGGCAGGCUUAACACAUGCAAGUCGAGCGGUAACAGGAGAAUCUUGCUUCUCGCUGACGAGCGGCGGACGGGUGAUGAAUACUUAGGAGUCUACCUAGUGGUGGGGGAUAGCUCGGGGAAACUCGAAUUAAUACCGCAUACGACCUACGGGAGAAAGGGGGCAACUUGUUGCUCUCGCUAUUAGAUGAGCCUAAGUCGGAUUAGCUAGAUGGUGGGGUAAAGGCCUACCAUGGCGACGAUCUGUAGCUGGUCUGAGAGGAUGAUCAGCCACACCGGGACUGAGACACGGCCCGGACUCCUACGGGAGGCAGCAGUGGGGAAUAUUGGACAAUGGGGGCAACCCUGAUCCAGCCAUGCCGCGUGUGUGAAGAAGGCCUUUUGGUUGUAAAGCACUUUAAGCAGUGAAGAAGACUCCAUGGUUAAUACCCAUGGACGAUGACAUUAGCUGCAGAAUAAGCACCGGCUAACUCUGUGCCAGCAGCCGCGGUAAUACAGAGGGUGCAAGCGUUAAUCGGAAUUACUGGGCGUAAAGCGAGCGUAGGUGGCUUGAUAAGUCAGAUGUGAAAGCCCCGGGCUUAACCUGGGAACGGCAUCUGAUACUGUUAGGCUAGAGUAGGUGAGAGGAAGGUAGAAUUCCAGGUGUAGCGGUGAAAUGCGUAGAGAUCUGGAGGAAUACCGAUGGCGAAGCAGCCUUCUGGCAUCAUACUGACACUGAGGUUCGAAAGCGUGGGUAGCAAACAGGAUUAGAUACCCUGGUAGUCCACGCCGUAAACGAUGUCUACUAGUCGUUGGGUCCCUUGAGGACUUAGUGACGCAGCUAACGCAAUAAGUAGACCGCCUGGGGAGUACGGCCGCAAGGUUAAAACUCAAAUGAAUUGACGGGGGCCCGCACAAGCGGUGGAGCAUGUGGUUUAAUUCGAUGCAACGCGAAGAACCUU
rnacentral:rRNA from 1 species